rnacentral:rRNA from 1 species
GGGGAGGGGGUGAGAGGAGAGAAUGGGCUAGGGGAGGGUUGGGAUCGUCGGCGGCGGCGCGAGAGCAGGAGGAGGGGAGGAGGGGAUGCGACGCAGGAGGACGGGAGGAGGGGAUGCGAGACGUCAUCACGCCCGGCGGCGGAGUGUCAUGCUCCACCCCGAUGUUGGUGUUGGGGUCGCGGAGAAGACGUGUCGGCACGCUGAGCUCUGCCGUUCUAGGUCGGCACUGCCGGCUCUAAGUAGAGCGACCGUGCGAGGAGACGGGAAGGACUAGGACUGGUGUUACCAUUACGCGCGCGCCGGUAGGGAGGGUCGCACCACCACCUGCUUCCUCCACGUGUAGAGGCCGUUCCAGUAGCAAGGAGGGAGGCCUAGGCAAGACCGCGUUCCACCGGUGAUCCCACGUCGUGAGAGGCAGGAUUCCGCGGUUGACGGUGGUGGUACGAGGGGGCUUCGCCGCGGUCUCAACCUAUACCGAUGCCCCCGCACCUACACCUCGCCGCGGUUUUGACCAGAUCUCGCCGCGGCCUCGCCGCCUAGACUGCUCAGCCUCGUCGUCUCGCCGCGGCCUCGGAGGUGUAACAGCAACAGGAGUGCGUAGGUGCGUACCCACUUACGAAGAAAACAGGACAAGUGAGCCAGUAGCCUGUUUGGGAUCGGACGAAGCUGACUAAAGGAAGAUACGAGCCAACAAACUACCCAAGCAAAGAGCAGCCGCCCUACCACGUUCCGCGUUGAGGCUGCGCCAAGGAGCGGCCAACCUGCCACAAGUCCGUGUUGGGGCCGCGCGUGACUCAUGACGGAGCCGAUGUCGGAGGGAGCCCCUUCUGACAGCUUCAACCAUCUCAGGUGAAACGAUGACUUUUAUGUUCUAAGUGAUAGAAGCUACGUGGCCAAGAAAAGAAAGUGUAAAAUGCAGCUACGAGGAUACAGAACCAAAUAAAAAGAACGUACGGUGACAAUACGAAGAGACCUAAUAGAUACUAAAACACUGGUGUGGUCGUAAGACUCCCGGUCGGAUAUCAAACUUGACAUGUUCUAACAUCAGAAAAAAAGAACGGUUUAGAUAAGACCAUUACCAGUUAGAUAUAAUAAGCUGGUACGUAGUAUACUCCCAAGUUUAUAUAUCUAAAAACAACAAUGGAAUAUAAAAAUAGUCUUAUUCCUACUUGGAACUUAAUACAUGGAAGGUUCGGGUACAAAAACUAGAAAUACGUCAAACAACACAUUAAGAUUACCCGUGGAUACAUCUAAAAACAUAGGACUAGUAUCCUUUUAAACGAAACAUAAUAAUACCCUACACAAUAGAGAAUAGAGUUACCGGUGAGAGAAUAAACUACACGGGUGUACGAAAAAACUACCUACGCUGGACAAUACACCUAACCUGAAUCCGUCACACGCCGUUCGACGUGAUGAAUGGACAAUUACAUGAAGAAUUGUAAUCCCGUAGCAUACAACUUUUCCCUUUUACUGUCACGAGAAUUUUAUACGGAUACGAUUAUACCUGUAUGCUCAGUGUACACGUGGACGAGUUACUUCGGAAAUUUUCGGAAUAGUAAAAAAGAAAUACAUCUACUGGACUUCCGUACACAAUACAGCCUACCGUCGACAAGGAUACGACUUCAAUAAAAAAGAGAAGGGAAAGAAGGUAAUAAAAGUACACAAAGUUAAUCUUCUUAAUAUAAAAUAACAACACGGAUGACUAAUUGAUCUUGUUCAACUCGGUUAUAAAUCUGCAUCCUCAGUCGUAAUUAUCAAAUACUCAUUACGAAUAUCAAAUGACAGUUGAUGAAAAAUGAGUACUCGUAUAUAUCUAACACUGGUAUUAACACCCGUAAUGCCCUCCGUUGAGUGACCUAUUUAUAUUACCUGAGACCCACCACUUAAACCAUCGAAAGCUUUACCCGGAAUGAGAGACCAAAAAGGAAGGUGCUGUUGUUCCACAUCCUCAGCCGUGCUGCGACACAUUCCAUGACUACUAGAGACUGUACUCUAUGAAUACACUAAGAUUGCAGCUACAGAGGGAAUCGUUCGUAUUGUUACACGCGACCAGCUGACCUUCAGUUCCAAGACCGGCUAACUAAAUACAGAACUUAAAGGAAUAUAAAAGGAAACACGAGUAGUUAGGGCACUCAAUAACAUGUACGUGGGGGUAAGAAUACGACUUCUUAUUUUUUUACACUUACUAAAACAUUCUCAAGCCUCAUGAUACCCGAAAAGAUUUCUAAGUGUGGUGUAGCUGAAGACCUCGUCCGUAAGUGGAAUUACGUCCCCCACAUACCAACCAUUGUUAGAAGAGUACAAUUAAAUCGGAAACGGGUUAAUUUUAGGUGGUCAUGAAGUACCGGACCAACACAAACUGGGGAAGAACGACUCAUGAAGUACCGGACCAAUACAAAAUGGGGAAGCACCACGACUGACCACACUACAGGGUCAAUCUCGGAC